CAGAAAUAUCCUCACACCAAAACAUAUCCUCAGUUCUCACACACACAGGGACUGAUGUAUACAGGGCAUCACAAAUAAUAGUCUCCCGCACAUAUCACUGUCCAUGUUGGAAGUCCCGGCGUACUGGAAACGGACGGAGGUCCCUCUGAUGGAUGAGUGGAUUCACAGGGUAGAGGACAUUCAGGCUGCGGAAGCACUCCAUGCCACACUAUU